rnacentral:rRNA from 1 species
UACGAGGGGUGCAAGCGUUGCUCGGAAUUAUUGGGCGUAAAGGGUAGGUAGGUGGUCUCAUUUGUCUGGGGUGAAAGCCUUGAGCUUAACUCAAGAAGUGCCCCGGAAACGGUGAGACUGGAGUCCCGGAGAGGGUCGUGGAAUUCCCGGUGUAGCGGUGAAAUGCGUAGAGAUCGGGAGGAACACCAGAGGCGAAGGCGGCGACCUGGACGGGCACUGACACUCAAGCACGAAAGCGUGGGGAGCAAACAGG